AGAACGAACGCUGGCGGCGUGCCUAACACAUGCAAGUCCAACGUGAAAGGGGAGCAAUCCCCCGGUAGGGUGGCAAACGGGUGAGUAAUACAUGGGUGAUCUACCUUAGGGAUGGGGAUAUCCUUCCGAAAGGAGGGGCAAUACCGAAUAUUGUCCGGAGCCGUGAAGGGUUCCGGGGAAAGGGAGGCCUCUGAUACAAGCUUUCGCCUUAAGAUGAGCCCAUGGCCCAUCAGCUAGUUGGUAGGGUAAAGGCCUACCAAGGCUACGACGGGUCGCUGGUCUGAGAGGACGACCAGCCACACUGGCACUGAGAUACGGGCCAGACUCCUACGGGAGGCAGC
rnacentral:rRNA from 1 species